GGAUGAACCAGGGAGGGAAUAUGUAGAGACUGCAACCUACCACAAUCAAAGCUGGCUGCGAAGUACAGAACCAUUGACUGAUGUUCGAGGGUAUUGAACAGACAACCGAAGGACAUUGAUAUACGGAGUCUAUCUCCAACAGUUACAUGGGGGCUCGUGACCCGGGAUCACUAACGCUCCUGCCAGCAGAUGACGACACGGCUGAUGCUCAUAUACAACCAAUGACAAAACCCCGGUUUUUGCCUCUCUCCCAGUUUCAGGAGCAGCUCUGAAUCCCCACAAAAUUUAACCAGGAGAUUGGGUGUAUCUGAAAAGACAUGUGAGAAAGUCACUUGAGCCCAGAUUUGAUGGUCCAUAUCAAGUGUUGCUGACCACGCCUACUUCUGUGAAAAUUAAGGCGAGAGAGAGACUUGGGUGCCACUGCAAACUUGCCCAAGUUAAGUUUGAUCAAUAAAAUACACAAACAUGCAGAGGCUAAGUGGGCCUAAAUCAGACAGGCCACUAUGGGUCAUUAGAUUGGGAACUUCAGUAUUUAUUGCAUGACAUUAUAUACCCAGACAAGUAGAAUGUGUUGUACAUUUAUCACUAAUGAAACAGAUAAUGCACAAGAAGUGGUUCAAUGGCAUGUCCAAGAAAUAGAAAAGAAAAACAAGCAUAUGCCAACAAAAACAAUAUCCCUGACACUCUAGAGCAGGCAUUCCCAACC